AUUGAACGCUGGCGGCAGGCCUAACACAUGCAAGUCGUGCGAGCGGCUGACGGGUGAGUUAUGUAUGGGGAUCUGCCUGAUGGAGGGGGAUAACUACUUGAAACGGUGGCUAAUACCGCCUACCAUUCGAUGAACCCAUAUGGGAGUAGCUGGUAGGUGGGGUAACGGCUCACCUAGGCGACGAUCCCUAGCUGGUCUGAGAGGAUGAUUAGCCACACUGGGACUGAGACACGGCCCAGACUCCUACGGGAGGCAGCAGUGGGGAAUAUUGGACAAUGGGCGCAAGCCUGAUGCAGCCAUGCCGCGUGUAUGAAGAAGGCCUUCGGGUUGUAAAGUACUUUCAGUCGGGAGGCGUUACCGACAGAAGAAGCACCGGCUAACUCCGUGCCAGCAGCCGCGGUAAUUC
rnacentral:rRNA from 1 species